GAUCUGUCUACAGGAACCGAAAGAAGCAGGGGCAAUGCAACCUCCAGACGAACCCUGGCAGCAAGGAAGGGAUAAAGGACAAAAAACACAGGAAGAUACAGACAGAGGCAAAUUACCAGCAACAUAUUUGGAAGGAAACCUGAAUGAGGUAACUAACAAACCUAACUAAAAUAACAAUUGAAAAUACUACAUCAAAUUCUUAUUGAAUUACUCAUUAAAUCUCAC